CCUACGGGUGGCAGCAGUGAGGAAUAUUGGUCAAUGGCCGGAAGUCUGAACCAGCCAAGCCGCGUGAAGGACGAAUGUGCCAAGCAUUGUAAACUUCUUUUGUCUAGGGACAAAAUCAUGCUCGAGAGCCUGACCGUAUGUACUUUAAGAAAAAGCAUCGGCUAACUCCGUGCCAGCAGCCGCGGUAAUACGGAGGAUGCGAGCGUUAUCCGGAUUUAUUGGGGUUAAAGGGUGCGUAGGCGGAUUGUUAAGUCAGGGGUGAAAGGCUGGGGCUCAACCCCAAGAGAGCAGUUGAAACUGGCUGUCUUGAGAUGUGGAGAGGUAGGCGGAAUGCGUGGUGUAGCGGUGAAAUGCUUAGAUAUUGCGCAGAACUCCGAUUGCGAAGGCAGCAUACCGGAGGCGAUCUGACGCUGAGGCACGAAAGCGUGGGUAUCGAACAGGAUUAGAUACCCUUGUAGUC
rnacentral:rRNA from 1 species